rnacentral:rRNA from 1 species
AGACUUUCGGAGGAGGUAAUGACCAGUUCCAUUGGUGCCUUUUGGUACUGUGGAUAGGGGUACGGUUUUCCACCGUACCGAAACCUAGCAGAGGGCCAGUCUGGUGCCAGCAGCUGCGGUAAUUCCAGCUCUGCGAGUUUGCUCCCAUAUUGUUGCAGUUAAAACGCCCGUAGUCUGAAUUGGCCAGCAAUGGUCGCACGUAUUUAUACGUUCACUGUGAACAAAUCAGGACGCUUAGAGUAAGGCUACAUGAAUGACUCAGCGCAGUAUGAAGUCUUUGUUUUCGUCUGAAAACAAGCUCAAUGAGAGCCAUCGGGGGUAGAUCUAUCUCAUGACGAGUGGUGGAAUACUUUGACUCAUGAGAGAGAAUCUGAGGCGAAGGCGUCUACCUAGAGGGUUUCUGUCGAUCAAGGGCGAGAGUAGGAGUAUCCAACAGGAUUAGAGACCCUGGUAGUUCCUACCUUAAACGAUGCCGACAGGAGUUUGUCAUUUACUAAUGGCAGAAUCUUUGGAGAAAUCAUAGUUCUUGGGCUCUGGGGGAACUACGACCGCAAGGCUGAAACUUGAAGGAAUUGACGGAAGGGCACACCAGGGGUGGAGCCUGUGGCUUAAUUUGAAUCAACACGGGGAAACUUACCAGGACCAGAUGUUUUUUAUGACUGACAGGCUUCGGGUCUUUCAGGUUAUUGCUUUUGGUGGUGCAUGCCCGUUGGUGGUGCGUGGGUUGACCUGUCUAGCGUUGAUUCAGCUAACGAGCGAGAUUAUCGCCAAUUAUUUACUUUCUCUUGGCUUCAAGGCGAAAGUUCUAAUUGGGACUCCCUGCGAUUUUAGCAGGUGGAAGAGGGUAGCAAUAACAGGUCCGUGAUGCCCUUUAGAUGCUCUGGGCUGCACGCGUGCUACAAUGUUAGGAUCAAUAGGACUGCGACCCUGAGAGGGGAAGCUACUCUUAUAAUCCCUAACGUAGUUGGGAUUGACGUUUGUAAUCAGCGUCAUGAACCAGGAAUCCCUUGUAAAUGUGUGUCAACAACGCACGUUGAAUACGUCCCUGCCCUUUGUACACACCGCCCGUCGCUCCUACCGAUUGGAUGACUCGGUGAAAUCACCGGAUGCUUACGAGCAGAAAGUGAUUAAAUCACGUUAUCUAGAGGAAGGAGAAGUCG